rnacentral:rRNA from 1 species
GAAAGAUGGUUCUGCUAUCACUCUUGGAUGGACCUGCGGUGCAUUAGCUAGUUGGUAAGGUAACGGCUUACCAAGGCAAUGAUGCAUAGCCGAGUUGAGAGACUGAUCGGCCACAUUGGGACUGAGACACGGCCCAAACUCCUACGGGAGGCAGCAGUAGGGAAUCUUCCACAAUGGACGAAAGUCUGAUGGAGCAACGCCGCGUGAGUGAAGAAGGGUUUCGGCUCGUAAAGCUCUGUUGGUAGUGAAGAAAGAUAGAGGUAGUAACUGGCCUUUAUUGACGGUAAUUACUUAGAAAGUCACGGCUAACUACGUGCCAGCAGCCGCGGUAAUACGUAGGUGGCAAGCGUUGUCCGGAUUUAUUGGGCGUAAAGCGAGUGCAGGCGGUUCAAUAAGUCUGAUGUGAAAGCCUUCGGCUCAACCGGAGAAUUGCAUCAGAAACUGUUGAACUUGAGUGCAGAAGAGGAGAGUGGAACUCCAUGUGUAGCGGUGGAAUGCGUAGAUAUAUGGAAGAACACCAGUGGCGAAGGCGGCUCUCUGGUCUGCAACUGACGCUGAGGCUCGAAAGCAUGGGUAGCGAACAGGAUUAGAUACCCUGGUAGUCCAUGCCGUAAACGAU